rnacentral:rRNA from 1 species
UACGUAGGGUGCGAGCGUUAAUCGGAAUUACUGGGCGUAAAGCGUGCGCAGGCGGUUUUGUAAGACAGAUGUGAAAUCCCCGGGCUCAACCUGGGAACUGCAUUUGUGACUGUAGAGCUGGAGUACGGUAGAGGGGGAUGGAAUUCCGCGUGUAGCAGUGAAAUGCGUAGAUAUGCGGAGGAACACCGAUGGCGAAGGCAAUCCCCUGGACCUGUACUGACGCUCAUGCACGAAAGCGUGGGGAGCAAACAGG